UCGAACGGUAGCACAGAGGAGCUUGCUCCUUGGGUGACGAGUGGCGGACGGGUGAGUAAUGUCUGGGAAACUGCCCGAUGGAGGGGGAUAACUACUGGAAACGGUAGCUAAUACCGCAUAACGUCGCAAGACCAAAGAGGGGGACCUUCGGGCCUCUUGCCAUCGGAUGUGCCCAGAUGGGAUUAGCUAGUAGGUGGGGUAACGGCUCACCUAGGCGACGAUCCCUAGCUGGUCUGAGAGGAUGACCAGCCACACUGGAACUGAGACACGGUCCAGACUCCUACGGGAGGCAGCAGUGGGGAAUAUUGCACAAUGGGCGCAAGCCUGAUGCAGCCAUGCCGCGUGUAUGAAGAAGGCCUUCGGGUUGUAAAGUACUUUCAGCGAGGAGGAAGGUGUUGUGGUUAAUAACCGCAGCAAUUGACGUUACUCGCAGAAGAAGCACCGGCUAACUCCGUGCCAGCAGCCGCGGUAAUACGGAGGGUGCAAGCGUUAAUCGGAAUUACUGGGCGUAAAGCGCACGCAGGCGGUCUGUCAAGUCGGAUGUGAAAUCCCCGGGCUCAACCUGGGAACUGCAUCCGAAACUGGCAGGCUAGAGUCUUGUAGAGGGGGGUAGAAUUCCAGGUGUAGCGGUGAAAUGC
rnacentral:rRNA from 1 species